rnacentral:rRNA from 1 species
GUGGGGAAUAUUGGACAAUGGGGGGAACCCUGAUCCAGCCAUGCCGCGUGUGUGAAGAAGGCCUUUUGGUUGUAAAGCACUUUAAGCGAGGAGGAGGCUACCGAGAUUAAUACUCUUGGAUAGUGGACGUUACUCGCAGAAUAAGCACCGGCUAACUCUGUGCCAGCAGCCGCGGUAAUACAGAGGGUGCAAGCGUUAAUCGGAUUUACUGGGCGUAAAGCGCGCGUAGGUGGCCAAUUAAGUCAAAUGUGAAAUCCCCGAGCUUAACUUGGGAAUUGCAUUCGAUACUGGUUGGCUAGAGUAUGGGAGAGGAUGGUAGAAUUCCAGGUGUAGCGGUGAAAUGCGUAGAGAUCUGGAGGAAUACCGAUGGCGAAGGCAGCCAUCUGGCCUAAUACUGACACUGAGGCACGAAAGCGUGGGGAGCAAACAGGAUUAGAAACCCUAGUAGUCC